rnacentral:rRNA from 1 species
CCGAAUUGUAGUCUAAAGAGGCGCUAUCGGACACGAGUUUGUUGUACAAGUUCCCUGGAAUGGGACAUCACAGAGGGUGAGAAUCCCGUCUGGACAAUGGACAAGUGGCCAUAUGAGGCGUUCUCAAAGAGUCGAGUUGUUUGGGAUUGCAGCUCUAAAUGGGAGGUAUAUUUCUUCUAAGGCUAAAUAAAGGCAAGAGACCGAUAGCAAACAAGUACCGUGAGGGAAAGAUGAAAAGCACCUUGAAAAGGGAGUUAAAAGCGCGUGAAAUUGUUAAAAGGGAAACGAUUGAAGCCAGUAGGACCAUGGAGAGUUCAGCGGUACCUAUCGAGUAUUGCUGCGAUGAGAGUGCUUAAUUGUACCUCUAGCAGUGUGCGCAAAUAGACUAUCGUGCAUUCUUUCCAUGGUUAGUCAGUGACAAUUUGAGUUGCCGGAAAAGGACUUUGGGAAGGUGGCCAUUGCUUCGGUAUUGGCUUUAUAGACCAUCGUAGAUACGGCAGUUUGGAUUGGAAUCGGCAACAGCUAAUCGGAGCGUCAUAUCUGCAGUUGUGGACACUUGAGAAUCAGUAGAGUCUCAGGUGGUAUCUAUCUGGGAAAC